rnacentral:misc_RNA from 1 species
UGAUCAUCAAGAUUUAUGUUUUGUCCAUGAAGAAGAGUUGCAGGUGAUGGUAAGAAUAUUUCAGCUGCGUGCUGCACCUGGUUUCUUAAGGGAAGAAGGCCAUUGGAGUCCAAAAAAUUCAAGAUCUGAACUUGUGGCUCUCUCUGACGAAGCCAAUCCAAGACAUUGUUUGGACUUUCUUCUGUGACAAGAUCAUUUACAUAUGCAUUCUUUGGAGGAAGAUGUGCCUGAUUACACUGUGAAACUGUUGGCGCACCAGAAGAAUUGUACUUUUCUUCUAAAACUUGCUUACGCAUCUGCACGCGCUUCAAUGCCUCUUCAAGUAUCUGUUCUUG